rnacentral:tRNA from 1 species
UCCCUUGUAGUUCAGUUGGUAGAACACCGGACUGUUAAUCCGUAUGUCGCUGGUUCGAGUCCAGCCGGGGGAGCCA